rnacentral:tRNA from 1 species
GGUGGUGUGGUUUGGUUUGACCACUGGACUAUGACCCUGGAGACCAGGGUUCAAUUCCCCGUUCAACCA